GAAGAUUGUUUUAUUGAGAAGAUAAAGCUUAUUUUAGUGAGAUAAGCAACAUGCACCAUUAAGUUUAGACAUUUUAAAUCUUUUUGUAAUUGCUCCAUUAAUGUAAGAUACUUUUCAAACUAUAAAAUUAAUGUAUUGAUUUACAAGCAUAUUUUCAUCUGACUCAAGUGUUACCACAUUUUACCCUCCAGUAGCUGCUGAGGCUGGAUCAUUGAUUUAAUCAUUGGAAAAAAUUUCCUCUUUAUCGUCAUUAUUAUUAUUAUUUGUCUGGUCGUCGAAAGAAGCAAGAAGAUAACUAAAAUAGUCAGCUAUCAAUUGGCUUGAUCAUGGCAGCUUCAGUGGUAACCAAUAUCAUACAGGGAGUUUUUAACUAUCGGAAUGGUAGAAACCACAGACGUAAGGUCACAGAAAAACUAACGGCUACAGCUUUUGUGGAUAAUCUCAACGUCGACAACAACCCCAUGUUCGGUCCUUUCUCUGAUAGUGGAGACGAUUCUGAAAACGAACAAAAUCUUACAGGCCUUCAUCAAGAGGUAUAUGUCAAAGACCGUUUACCAGAAAUGGUUUACUUUGAUGUUGAUCAAGUUCAGAAUGAGACAACAGUGUGAAAACAACCCGGAAGUGUAAAACAGUACUCAACACUGGCUAGAUGAUAAACUCUUCAUGUCUGUUCCUGUUUCAGCUUUAUCUUUUCACAACCACGUUUAUAAAAAUAUGGCUUUAUUUAUGCAGAACAUAUAUCAAUUAUCUGUUAUAUGUUUAUGAUUUCUUUCAUGUAGAUUUUUCAAAGAUUUAUUGAGAGCAUUAAAAAUACCGUUGUAAUCAAGAACGAUUACCCUAAUUUAUUUUCAUACUUAUUA